UAGAGGUACCUUCAAUAUGCGGACGCCUAAUUAAACUACUAUUAAAGCAAAAUCAGAAAUUUACAUGUCUUUGGAUUGGCUGAAGCAAUAUGCAGGCGCUUGAGUCAAUGAAUCAUCCCAAAAAACUGCACCAACAUCAAAUGUAAUCACAUGUGUUGAUAUACCUGCCAAUAUGACCAAGUUUUAUUCAAUUACAUUGAAAUAUACAUGAAUAUGCAGGAUCAAGCAACUUUAGUACUGAUGCAACAUUCAUCACUGGACCAUACAUUUUUUGCCUUAUAAUUAUUAUUAUCAUUAUUUUUAUAUAAGCAAAGGAUUAUGUUAAAUGGAAGGAUGGGACCCCACGAAACCAAAACUCCUAUACACCAAGACACAAUUCAAAAGAACUACAGGGUAUUCAAACUCAAGAUCAGAAAACAUUUGCAGCAGAAUGAGGCAGCAGACGAACAGAACAACAUCAGACCCAAAAUAUAAAUAAAUAAGUAAUUAUGAUCUUGCUCACUGUGGCUUAUUGAUCUGGAGAAAAUGAACAUUUAUGCGACAGUCCUCAAUUAUACAAGAAAUUGUAUCAAUUUAAAGAAUAUACUGAAAAUUAACAUAGAAGAGAAUAAACCCGGAAAAGCUAUAUAGUUUAUAGGUGCCAUAAUCUUGAACCCAAGAGAAAAUAACAAAGAUAUGAACAUGCUCGAUGACAGAUUAUUAGAGAGAGGUAACAAGUUAAAACUAACAUACCAUCAGAGAAAUCCCAUUUGACUGGCCGCUUGGUAGAAACAUCCUCAUAGUACCAUAUGAAAUCCACCUUCUCCCACACAUUACACAAGAACCCAUCAGCCACCCUGGUCCCUAGAUAAUUAGCUCCAUCAAGAAAAUCAGGUCUAGGAAUACCCACUCCGAAAUCUAC
rnacentral:misc_RNA from 1 species